UGCCUUUCUUCGAAUAUGUACUCUAGUGGCCAUUUUAAUUUUGUAAUUAGCAUCUUUGACGUUACAUGUCGGUCUAUUUAAGGAUUGGAAAUCAUGUAGCUUGAGUUCAACCAGAAGCAAGCUCAUAAGAAAUCAGAAACUUAAUUGAAAGAGAUAGAUGGCAGAAAUCAAGUCUGAAUCAGCAAAGGCUUUUGAAGAUUGGGCUCGAUCACUGCCUCAUAUUUCCACUCUUAGCUCUAAUUCACAAACUAGUGCUUCUGCUGUCACUUGGCAUUAUAUUGGGGAGGGCAAGCCCAAAGUUGAGAGCCUUAAGACGAAGACGCCUUAAGAGUUAAGACUACAAGUCUGAGUACUGCUUGGAGAAAUUGCAGUGCGUUUGUAAGUGUGUGAUCGAUCAUUGAAUAACAUGCUCAUAAUGGACGAUCUUUUCAUUUCUUAAAUUCAAAAUAAGCUCGGGAAAAGGCUACCUAACUACAUUUGGACCUUUUCUAUAAACAAAAUUAAUGUUUAUACUUUA